rnacentral:rRNA from 1 species
UUUAAAGUCUGACCUGCCCAAUGAGUAAUUAAAUGGCCGCAGUAUUUUGACUGUGCAAAGGUAGCAUAAUCAAUAGUUUCUUAAUUAGAAGCUGGAAUGAAAGGUUUGAUGAGAAAAUAUCUGUCUCAAUUUUAAUUUUUUAUAAUUUUAUUUUUAAGUUAAAAAGCUUAAAUUUAUUAAAAAGACGAGAAGACCCUAUAGAGUUUUAAAAAAAUAUUAUUUAAUUAUUUUUAGGUUUAAUUUUUCUUAAAUAUUAUUUUUAUUUUAUUGGGGUGAUUUAAAAAUUGAUAAAACUUUUUAUAUUUUAUAACAUUAAUUAGUGAAUAAAUGAUCCUAUAUUAGUUAGAUUAAAAGAAAAAAUUACCUUAGGGAUAACAGCGUUAUUUUUUUUUAGAGUUCAUAUUAAAAAAAAAGUUUGCGACCUCGAUGUUGGAUUAAAAUUUAAUUUUGGUGUAGAAGCUGAAUAUUUAGGUCUGUUCGACCUUUGAAAUUUUACA